UACGGGGGGGGCAAGCGUUGUUCGGAAUUACUGGGCGUAAAGGGCGCGUAGGCGGUUGGAUAAGUCAGCUGUGAAAACCACGAGCUCAACUUGUGGCCUGCAGUUGAAACCAUCUGGCUAGAGUCCGGAAGAGGAGAGUGGAAUUCCUGGUGUAGCGGUGAAAUGCGCAGAUAUCAGGAAGAACACCCGUGGCGAAGGCGGCUCUCUGGGACGGUACUGACGCUGAGACGCGAAAGCGUGGGGAGCGAACAGG
rnacentral:rRNA from 1 species